UCAGGAUGAACGCUAGCGGCGCGCUUAAUGCAUGCAAGUCGAGCGAUGAGACUCCUACGGGAGCACAUCAGCGGCAGACGGGUGAGUAACACGUAGAUGACGUACCCUCAAGACGGGGAUAACGGAUGGAAACAUGCGCUAAUACCGGAUGACCUUACGAUGUCAGAAUGGUAAGGAAAGCUACGGCGCUUGAGGAGCGGUCUGCGGCCCAUCAGCUAGUUGGUAGGGUAAAGGCCUACCAAGGCGAAGACGGGUAGGGGGUGUGAGAGCGCGGCCCCCCACAAUGGGACUGAGACACGGCCCAUACUCCUACGGGAGGCAGCAGCAGGGAAUAUUGCACAAUGGACGGAAGUCUGAUGCAGCGACGCCGCGUGAGUGAAGAAGGCCUUCGGGUUGUAAAACUCUUUUGAGGGGGAAGAGCGAGGACGGUACCCCUGGAAUAAGCGUCGGCUAACUACGUGCCAGCAGCCGCGGUAAGACGUAGGACGCGAGCGUUAUCCGGAUUUACUGGGCGUAAAGCGUCUGUAGGCGGAUGUGUAAGUUGGGCGUGAAAGCUCCGGGCUUAACCCGGAGAGGCCGUUCAAUACUGCAUAACUUUGAGGGUGUCAGAGGGGAGCGGAAUUCCCGGUGUAGCGGUAAAAUGCGCAGAGAUCGGGAGGAACACCAGUGGCGGAGGCGGUUCCCUGGGGCACAACCUGACGCUGAGAGACGAAAGCUAGGGGAGCGAACAGGAUUAGAGACCCUGGUAGUCCUAGGCCUAAACGAU
rnacentral:rRNA from 1 species